CAAUCGGCCCUUUUCAGGGCCAACAAAAUAUUCAAACGUAUAAAC
rfam:Trichomalopsis sarcophagae strain Alberta scaffold22868, whole genome shotgun sequence.